rnacentral:rRNA from 1 species
CCCCAGACUCCUACGGGAGGCAGCAGUGGGGAAUAUUGCACAAUGGGGGAAACCCUGAUGCAGCGACGCCGCGUGAGCGAUGAAGUAUUUCGGUAUGUAAAGCUCUAUCAGCAGGGAAGAAGGUGACGGUACCUGACUAAGAAGCCCCGGCUAACUACGUGCCAGCAGCCGCGGUAAUACGUAGGGGGCAAGCGUUAUCCGGAUUUACUGGGUGUAAAGGGAGCGUAGACGGCGAUGCAAGCCAGAUGUGAAAGCCCGGGGCUCAACCCCGGGACUGCAUUUGGAACUGUGUGGCUGGAGUGUCGGAGAGGCAGGCGGAAUUCCUAGUGUAGCGGUGAAAUGCGUAGAUAUUAGGAGGAACACCAGUGGCGAAGGCGGCCUGCUGGACGAUGACUGACGUUGAGGCUCGAAAGCGUGGGGAGCAAACAGGAUUAGAUACCCCGGUA